rnacentral:rRNA from 1 species
UACGUAGGGUGCAAGCGUUGUCCGGAAUUAUUGGGCGUAAAGGGCGCGUAGGCGGCCGAUCAAGUCAGAGGUGAAAGCCCAAGGCUCAACCUUGGAACUGCCUUUGAUACUGUUUGGCUUGAGACCGGUAGAGGUAAGUGGAACUGCGAGUGUAGAGGUGAAAUUCGUAGAUAUUCGCAAGAACACCAGUGGCGAAGGCGGCUUACUGGACCGGUUCUGACGCUGAGGCGCGAAAGCGUGGGGAGCAAACAGG